rnacentral:tRNA from 1 species
CGGGGUGUGGCGCAGCUUGGUAGCGCGCGUCGUUCGGGACGACGAGGUCGCGGGUUCAAAUCCAGUCACCCCGA